GACUCUACCAGGAUAUUUCCAUGAUGAAAAGCUAGUUUGAGAAGUUUUCAGAGAAACUUGUGAACCAGCCUAGCCUACCUGAGGUUCUCAAAGACAUCCUCAGCAGCAUGGAACACUCAGCCUCCCUUCUGCUUUGAGCUUACCCAAGGCAUACUGUUCAAGUCAGGUGAUGGAACACAGUCUGAACUUACCAGCAGAGCAGGGUUAACAAGUACCAAGGAGAUUUCAAAGACAAACUGCUGGUAGGGCCUGCCAGGAGCUAAGAUUCAUAAUGAAACUACAAAUUCUGGAGACCCAUUUUUUACUGUCCGCCAUGGCAAGUAUCUAAAAUUAAAUGCUAAGCAGAAAUCCGUCCUGGAGUCUGACACACAGCAGUUAAGAAGGAGAAAAUUAAAGCACCAGGCUGCUUCUGAAGGUGUAGAAGCUGAUGAAAGGUACCAACAGGAGAAAAGUAAACAUGGAAAAAUUAUCAUAAUAAGCGUGAGCCUGUGAACAUAAACUGAUGCAAGCCAGAAACUUCAGCUCAGUGGCACUGUGCAGAAGCCUGUUAUAUUGGAUUCAUGAACUUUGUGGAAGAAGGGCUGGCUGAAACCAUCUCCAUAUGUAGGAGUAAAGAGUAUGCAAGAAGAGCUAGCCUGGUGAUUGAACACAUGAAGAUUCUUUGAAAUUGAAGAACAUGGUAUUAGAGAGUUUGCAUUUGUUUUAAAGUAUUGAUACCUCUCUUCUGAGAAACAAGCAAAGCUUAUAGACUUUAUAUAGACUCAGAGAAGAGCUAAAAGCCAGAGGAUGUCAGAACACAUGUAGCAUUUCUUCUUAAUUGUAUUAAGACAGCAUGGUCAACCAUGUGCAAAGGCACACAGUUUUCUUAAGAGACAGGGAGAAAAUCCCAAAGAGGACAAGGAUCUUCCUUGUAAUAUCUAACUACGGCUGGCAGUGUAGUAUGUUCUAGAAUGGCUACUGGUCUUCAAAUACCCUGGGCUGAUUACAAC